rnacentral:lncRNA from 1 species
CAACCCCAUUCACACAAACUGCCUCUUGGAAAUAGCCCAGGAGCCCCUUGGAUCAAGCCCAGCAACAGCUACCGUGGGGGUCCCCCUGAGAGGCCCAGCAGACACCUCCCCUCCGACCCUCCUCAGAUGUCUUACCUGCUGCCGCUCCCCUAAACUCGUGCUGCCCCUCCGCCACCAGGAGGCCCAGGAAUCGCUUCCCCAUCAGGAGUGAACCUCAGUCCCUGUCCUCCCCUCCAAAGGCCCCCAACACAGCCACUGAGCACACGAACAGUGAAAACCAGAAAGCUGUUUCCUACCAACUCCAGGAGCACCGGGAGGACGGCAGGCAGUAGGGCCCGUCCCCAGGUGAGGAAGACAGAUGAACCGCAGACACUUCUGCGGGCUGGGGGGUGGCAGGACCCCAGUGGUACUGACUGUGGAUCCAUCACUGUGAUACAUGAUCGCAGAUGUCGCAGUGAGACACAGAUAAUCGGCUUCACGCUGUCUCCGAGCUCCUGGGGGGAGCAGGUUGUCUAAGCACCUCGAUGCCAUGGUGAUAGACGUCAUGUUAAUGCCUCCACGCACGAAGGGAGCGUUAUAAAGGCAUCGGUCU